rnacentral:lncRNA from 1 species
UUUUCUCCUGAAAUAUACAUUUUUGAAGUCUUUCAAACUUCUGCUGGCUAAACUCGGUGAUUUUGGUCUGCUCACGGGCUACAACUUUUAAUCUCCAAAUCUGUAUUUAAAGGAAAUGAAGAUUUUAUCAAUACAACAUCAUUAGAUGGUAAACAGGAUUUCACAUAUUAUAUAGCCAUCAAGUUGGACAAAAACAAUUGCAAAAAUAAAGUAGAAUUCAAUUAAAUUUCAUUCAAAAAAAACUUAAACUAAAGCAUAAGCGUAUACUUUUACGAUUUGAAGAUAAGAAGUACUGGGUUUACCUCUUCAACCAGAUCUGAUUUAGGCAUUUUCUUCACAGAAUCAGGUGAGAAAGUGUUAUAUCUGAACGUUAAGAGGAUGAAAGAUAAGAUUAGCAUAGAGACACGAAGAGGAAAAAAUCUGUUACAAUCUCUCAUCUCUGUAAUACUCAAGAAGCCCCGUAGCAUGCAAUAGAAGCAACUGGUACUUAUGAUGAGAACAAACAAGCAUUGUUGAUAAAUUCAGCAUAACAACAAUAACUCAUCAUGCAGCCUCCAUUGUUUAGUUUCCAAUGCUUUUUAAAACAUUCUUUACAUCCAAGAAUUGAAAGCAAAGAUUAUACAUUUCUAGAGUGUAACUCACAAGAUGUAGAAAAUACUUUAAACAACAAU